UGAUGGAAUAUGGGUAUAUGUGUCCCUUUGAUCUGAGGUUGCCUCGGUGGCUUGCAAGCAACUCACUAUGCUUUAGCAUCGGACUAUCUGAAUUUCUAAUUCGAUGAUGGAAGAUUUCUGGAUACGGUCAAGUGCUCAUGAAGUUUGAGUGUGAGUCAAGAUGGGAUUGAUCGCUCCAAGUAAAAUUGAAGAUGAUCCAUCACUAUGUUUCAAUUCAGUAAAAUUGAAGAUGAUGCAUCAAGUGCGAGUCAAGAUGGUAGUCUUAGUGAGGAGUCACAAGAUUUUUAGGUUGAGACACAAUAUGGACCACUCUUCCUAGAUUAACAGUUUAACCCUAAGUCAUCCUUGAGCACCGAGAGUCAAAGGGAUGAAUUAUAUGGUAACUAUAUCCACAUGGGUUCUAGAGUGCUACUGAGCAUACAUUGGGCCUAUCUGGACAUCAAAAAUCAUUGUUAGAUGGUAACAUCGAUUGGUACAAGAAUUAUUCUUGUACUACCAGCUUAGGUAUAAACCUAUGAGGUCAUACACAUAGAAGCACCUAUCUGAUCAAAUGGCUGAUCUACGAUUAUGAAUUAUUGAAGGAUUUAAUUAUCAAUGUGAUUGAUAAUUAAUUUGAUGCAAGGAUUGCAAUAAAUUAUUUACUAAUGGU
rnacentral:lncRNA from 1 species